ensembl:lncRNA
AUGCCCCGCUCAAUAAAAAAAAAUACAAAAGUAAAUACGAAAGAAAGAAAAUGGACGGUCAGUACCAGGGAGGGACAACGAGAGCGCCAAACACGUGUCAGUCGCUAUGGCUUUCACUUAUUACAGUUAUUAAUAAAUCAUAGCCAACGUGGACGCCGGCUUCACGGACUUGGGAAAGUGAAACAAUUGCAUAUUUUGUUUGAGGGAGAAAGCAAGUUGUCGUGUUAAGCCCACGACGUCGGCUUUUGCUGGUGAGUUCAUUUUAGUUUCGCUCAGGUUUUUGUGGCGUGCGUCACUUUGGUCUAUGAGUUUGGCUCGUAACGCUGGGCUCGCGGUCGCUUUGAAGCCAUGUCACUUUCCCUGGGCUGAAACCACUCCGUUUUUUAAGGUGCUUCAUCUUGACUAACUUUUUUUUUAAAUUAAAUAUCUGGUCACGUACAACCAUUCAAAGGUGCAUCAUCAAUACAGAUUCUCAAUGCAAUAUCAAUACAAACAGAUCAUAGCAAAUCAAAUGAAUUUGGUAACAAAAAUGAAAUAAAUAGCUCAAACUCCUUUAAUACCUAUUCUACCUCAGCAGUCUGCCUUUAUCGUUUUCGCAAACCGCGUCCAGCUGAAACGCCCGUCUGUCGGACGGCCCACCAGAGCUCACCGGCGUAACUUGUUCACGUACAUUAACUGUUCAAUGGAGAAGCUGAAGAGAUCGGUAUGAAUACAACGUGAAGCGUACAGACAAGAAUAACGUGAGCUAACUGCAUUCUGCUCAGACAACAUUUUUUUCUUACUUUUUUUUUUUUUUUACAUUUUAAAACCCCUCCGUUCAGAGAAAAGGGGCACAGGGAAAAGGGCGAUGGUUAUGCAACUAUAGACUACUCCAGUGUCCAAAAGAGGCAGAAGACAAGAUUACAGAGGAAGGAAAAGCAAGACAGAGCGUUUUUUUUGUUGUUGUCAUUUUUCAAACAUUUUUUUACAGUUUUUCUUAAUUAUUCAACAGUAAAAAGAGGAACUAAGUCACACCGAUUUCCUUUAGUACUAUAUAUAUACUGCUUUGAAGAAGUCGCGGAAGGAGAAAUACAGAAGUUUGAACGAGGGGAUUUUUUUGUUUAGUUUUUUUCUUUUUUUGAGAUGGGCACUCAGGAUUACAAGAUGGUGUCUGUGAACAAAAGGCACUUUUUAGGGACAACCUUUAUGAUGCUCUGAGUCUAACACUAGAUCACAAAACAAAUAUUUAGAGUCAUUUACACAGGGGCCAGUAGAGGGCGCUGCGGAUUCAGGGGGGAGGGGUUCAAUUUCAACUCUCUCUUUCUGAUUGGUCGCUGACUUUGUUUGGGAAUCUGUUUGGGUGAAUCUCUUUACGAAAAUAAUCACAUUUCACCCCAAAAUCAAAAGAAAAAUUAUAUUUUGUGUGUUUUAUUUUGCCAAAAAUAAAUGACAUUACAAUACAAUUUUUUUCUUAUGAUUUCUGAAUGAAAUAUACAGAGCCCCACAAAUGACAUAGAAAAAAAUAUCCCCACGAAUUAAUAAUUUUUCUGUGACUUAAGUUUCCUUGUUUUCGUAAAUCAUAACCAUGUUGUACUAAUUUGUUUCAUUAUUUUCAUAAAUUGUAGCCAUAUACAUAUUUGCUCCCUCAUUCUUGUCAAUUGUGGCUUCUUUGUAGUAAUGUCUUGAUUAUAAAAACGAGAGAAUGAAUUAAUAUAUUAUUGGUAUGAAUUCUUAAUUCGUAACAACAAUUUAACUAAAGCGAGGGAAUUAAUUAAUAGAACGUGGGAACAAAUUCUUAAUUCAUGGCUAUGAUAAAUAUACCGUUGUCCUAGUGUCAUGUGCGGGGGCUCUGUAGAAAAAUGUCUCGAAAGUUUUUGUGAGAUUCACAAGUUUAAAAAUAUAAAAGAUAGCAAAUUCACAUCACACCUCCCAUCUCUCUUCAUACUCCAAAAUUUCUAGCUUACAACGGGCAUUUUAGUGUAUUCGAGCUGUGUUAAAGCCUCUCCCAUAAACAGGGAAGAUCUUGUCAUACCUUUCAUACGAAUUCAAAAUUUUCUAUGUACAAAAAGCCAGCGAAGUUCCGACGGGAAGUUUAAGGACUACGGUGGUUCGGGCGAUCCAAAGCAUGGAAGUCCUAGAAAACUGGAAUGCAUAGCAUGAAGUCAAAAAUACCGGAAAAAUCCUGCAUUUUAGCUAGUUAAGAGUCGUAAAACCUCUUAGGACGUCAUCAGUCGACAUUCUUUGAUUGCUUCGGAGAAAAGGUUGGAGGAAAAAUGCCUUUUGUCACAACCCUGACCACAAUGAACCCCCCCCCCCUUCAGUAAAUACAAAAAGGAAAGAGUAAUGAACGCUUUUUCUUCUAAAAUUUGUCUUGAUAACACUUAUUUUUCGUCUUCUCAUGUAUAAUAGAGAUCGAGCGUACUUUGAUCCAUAAAAAGCACCUGUU